rnacentral:lncRNA from 1 species
UAUCGAUACACUACGAUGGAAUUACGGACCAGUUUAACAUAAACAUGUGUAAUAGAUAGACAGCUGAUAAUCAUAAUUGAUUAAGAAAUAACCUGGAAGAAGAAAUGAGUUAACUAUUGAUUAUAACAGAGACGAGAAUGCCAUCGUGUUUGUUCUGCUAAAAAAGCAGGAACAUUGGAGUUUAUGGUUAGAUUUUAAAUAUUUAUUGUCUCCAAACUGGGUAAAUUUGAUAUAGUAAACACCCCCCCUUUUUUUUUUAAAUAACUCGAGAACCACACAUCGCGCUCGCUUAACAAAGUAACAAUAAGAAAUAAUUAUUGUUAGUUUCAAGAAUAAUUAAUCGUCAAAACUUAUCCCCUCCCCGACAUCAAAGGAAGUUAAAUGUAUUAUCCCAAAAUUAGACCAAAUUAUUAUGAUAUAAGGACGUCUUGACAGGCUAUUAUUUUAUUUUGUUUUGUUUGGUUUUUUUUUUUUUUGCUUUGACGUCUUCCUCCUGUAUGAAAAAAACAUAAUAGACCCCCCCCCUUUUUCCCCAUAAUAUAGCUUUUUAAGAAGUCAUAAUUAUUUGGACUACCCCUGAAUAUAUUUCAGACAGACUCUUCUCUAAAAAAAUGUAAACAUGAUUUGAGAGAAAUCUUUGGAAUAGUUUUUUAAAUGAUUUAAUUAUUAUGUCAUGUAUAUAAUUAACAUUAACAUAGUUAUAAACUGAGACUACUAGUAUAACACAUAGUGUUAUAGUAGUCUCAGCUAUAAACUUUCCAUUGUAUUGACCAAAUAUGAACUCAUAUGCUCUUUCCCAUAAAUGUCACAAUAUCAAUAUAUUACAGUAAAACUGAUAGUUUGAUGACAUUGUUUAAGACUAUUGACCUCAGGUCAGCCUAAACUGAGUUUAAAACUGUAAUUUAUUCAUUAAAACAGUUCAAGACAUGUACCUUCUGAAAUGUGAUUGCAUCAAAAUUAAACCUAAGGCAUAACAUACUUAGUGUGCAGGAAGUGCCACCAAAUAAAUACUGAUUUGUAAAAUUAGAUGAUGAUAUUUGUGAAGUCAAAGAUAUUAUAGCUAGUUAUAACUGGUUUUAGAUAUAAAUCUGAGUAAAAGGUUGAUUUAUAUGUGCUCUUUCAUGUUUAGAUUAUAAUUUAAAUUUAAUCUUUUGAAGAAGUUUUUUUUUAUAAUAUUAAGACAUUAAAAUCACAAUUAUUUAUUUAUACACAAAAAAAUAAUUUUUGUCCUUUUUUAGUUGAAUGACUGUACACAAACAUUAUACACACAUAAUUUUGAUAAUUCUGUAAUGUUUUUUUUUCUAUAGCCCCAGAAUGUGACAAAAGACUUAUUAAUCCAGAUUUACAAAAAAUAGAAAUAGUUCAGCUACCAUAAGACUGCUAUGACAAAAAUUCUGCAGUUUCCAGAAUUUGAGGUAGAGUAUAGUUAGGAAUAGUUUGAUUAUGCAGAUGCUUAGUUUGCCAUAAACAAUUAUGCCCUUGAUACAAAAGCAGAGGAAACAAAAAAGUAUGAAAAUAGUUGAAAAAAGUAAUCAUUAUUACCUAGUCAUAUACUGUAAAUAGAAAAAGAGAAAAGCACUGGUUAUGAUUUGGUAUUUUUAAUAGCAUUAUCAUUUGUCCAUAACUUGGAAUAUAUACUGGAUUGAGCUUGACAUUUAUUUAAUAUCAUUGACACAUGGUUGCAAGAAAUGAAAGAUGGUAAUUUAAACCUAGCAAUUUUAUUAAGAUUUAAAAAAGAAGUUUUGAUUUGGUAGAAUAUGACUUUCUUUGUUUAAAGCUCGACAUGUAUGGAUUUAGUGAGACUACUGUUAGUUUUUUUUUAAGUCGUACCUGAAUAACAAAAGGUAUACAUUUGUAAUGUUAACUCUGAACAACAACAUGUAAAAUUUGGUGUUCCCCAAUGUUCUAUACCUUGUCCUCUAUUGUUUGUGCUAUUUAUAAAUGACCUUCCCUUAUGCAUUAAAAAUUGUGAAACAGACCUAUAUCGUUGUAUAUGCUGAUGACACCACUAUUCAUAAAUCAGGGGGAAACAUCUAGAAAAUAUAAAUGAUGAUGUUCAAGAAGAUUUAUACAGGGUUGAAGAGUGGUGUAAAAUGAAUAACAUGUUCAUAGAUGCAAAUGAAACAAAAUGUUUGAUUACUGGAACAAAGCAGAAACUAUUCAGACUUUUCAACCAAACUUGAUAAUAAAUUAAAGUAUUACAAAAUUCUUCAUGUGAAAAAAUAUUAGUUUCAAAAUUGACAGCCCACUAAGUAACUGGAGAAAUCAAAUUGACCAAGGUUGUGCUAAUAUAUCAUCCAGAAUAUACCAUCUUUCUUAAAUACAUUUUUUUUUAUAUAACUGCAAGAAAACAUAAUACAAUGGGUGUUCUGCCCCUAAUUGACUACUGUUGUAUUAUUUGGGAUGAAUGUAAAAAUUGAGGGAUAACAAGAAUUUUAAAAAUCCAAAAAAAAAGGGCAGCAUGAUAAAUUCUAGAUGCAGAUCCGUUAUCCCUCUUGGUAUAUAGGAGCACUAUAUUCUAUGUUAACCUCCGACAGUAGGUAUAGACAAAUACUGUUGAUAGACGGUAUAUAGGAGCACUAUAUUCCAUGUUAACCACCGACGGUAGGUAUAGACAAAUACUGGUGAUAGACGGUAUAUAGGAGCACUAUAUUGUAUGUUAACCACUGACGGUAGGUAUAGACAAAUACUGUUGAUAGACGGUAUAUAGGAGCACUAUAUUGUAUGUUAACCACCGACGGUAGGUAUAGACAAAUACUGUUGAUAGACGGUAUAUAGGAGCACUAUAUUGUAUGUUAACCACCGACGGUAGGUAUAGACAAAUACUGUUGAUAGACGGUAUAUAGGAGCACUAUAUUGUAUGUUAACCACCGACGGUAGGUAUAGACAAAUACUGUUGAUAGACGGUAUAUAGGAGCACUAUAUUGUAUGUUAACUACCGACAGUAGGUAUAGACAAAUACUGUUGAUAGACGGUAUAUAGGAGCACUAUAUUGUAUGUUAACCACCGACGGUAGGUAUAGACAAAUACUGUUGAUAGACGGUAUAUAGGAGCACUUUAUUGUAUGUUAACCACCGACGGUAGGUAUAGACAAAUACUGUUGAUGGACGGUGCAAAGGAGUACUAUAUCGUAUGUUAACCACUGACGGUAGGUAUAGACAAAUACUGUUGAUAGACGGUAUAUAGGAGGACUGUAUUGUAUGUUAACCACCGACGGUAGGUAUAGACAAAUACUGUUGAUAUACGGUAUAUAUAGGAGUAUUGUAUUUUAUGUCAAACAUCGACGAUAGGUAUGGACAAAAUCCGACAAAUACUGUAUACAGACAGUGUAUAGAAGUACUGUAUUGUAUGGUAAACACUGACGGUUGGUAUGGACAAUUUCUGUAUCAUGCAUCAAUUGUAAAUAAAAGUAUCAUGUGAGUGACACAGGCUCAUUGAAGCCUCUAUUAUUAAUGUGGAGAUCUGGUCUAAUUUAUCAUUUUCUCUAUUACAUGCAUGAUAACUGCAACAAUUGAAUUGAAAUAAAAGUGAUAAUAUUUCUGUUGUAGGUUAUCAAGAUUUAGUGUUUCCAUACAAGUGACAAAGAUUGAACAACAAAAACAUCUCAAACUUUACAGGACAGAGUAGACUUUUUUCACUGUGCUUAGUUUUGUCUUUAUGUCUAAAUUAUGAUACCUUUAAAAAAACCAAUAAAAUAUGGAAUAACA